GCCCUCCAGCGUCCUCCCCAUCGGAUCUAAACAUUGGUCUGAGCAGCUGUAAGCGGAGGAAAAGUACAACUGCAUUCGUUUGUGAUACACAAGUUCAUUUCACAAAAGA
rnacentral:snoRNA from 1 species